rnacentral:rRNA from 1 species
GGUAUUGAAAUAAGAUUUUAAAUGAGUGCUAAGAGAAUGAUUAAACAAUUAAAAGCUUUCUUUAAUUGAAUAAUUGAAUUUAAUUUUUUAGUGCAAAAGCAAAAAUAAAAUUUAGGGACAAGAAGACCCUAUGAAUUUUUUAUUAAAUUUUAUAAAACUUUAUAUAAAGUUUAAUUUAAUUGGGGUGAUGGAAAAAGAAUAAAUAUCUUUUUUUUUAAAGAAAAUUGGUUCCGUUUUUAGCGAUUAAAUGAAAAAAAUACUCUAGGGAUAACAGCGUAAUAA